rnacentral:rRNA from 1 species
UACAGAGGUCUCAAGCGUUGUUCGGAUUCACUGGGCGUAAAGGGUGCGUAGGUGGUGAGGUAAGUCGGAUGUGAAAUCUCCGGGCUCAACCCGGAAAUGGCAUUGGAAACUACCUUGCUUGAGGAUUUGAGGGGGGAUUGGAAUACUUGGUGUAGCAGUGAAAUGCGUAGAUAUCAAGUGGAACACCAGUGGCGAAGGCGAAUCCCUGGAAAAUACCUGACACUGAGGCACGAAAGCUAGGGGAGCAAACAGG